rnacentral:rRNA from 1 species
GAGGGGUAGAGAUCUACGGAUCUUGAGACCGGCGAACGGGUAAGUAACACGUAGGUAAUCUAGCCGCGCGGUUGGGGAUAGCCUGUAGGAAACACAGGGUAAUACCGAAUAGGGUCGCACUCCUGUAGGGGAGCGAGGAAAGAGGCUACGGCCUCGCCGUGCGAUGAGCCUGCGGCUGAUAAGCUUGUAGGUGGGGUAACGGCCUACCAAGGCGACGAUCAGUAGCCGGCCUGAGAGGGUAGAUCGGGCACACUAGGACUAGAGAUACGGCCCAGACUCCUAACGGGAGGCAGCAGCUAAAGAAUCUACCGGCAAUGGACGAAAGUCUAGACGGGAGCGACGCCGCGUGGGUGAAGAAGGCCGUGAGGUUGUAAAGCCCUUUUCUGCCUGAGGAAUAAGCACCUGAGGGAAUGCGGGUAGUGAUGACGGUAGGGCAGGAAUAAAGCCCCGGCUAAUUACGUGCCAGCAGCCGCGGUAACACGUAAUAGGGGCGAGCGUUGUACGGGAUAAUUGGGCGUAAAGGGCGCGUAGGC